rnacentral:rRNA from 1 species
CCUACGGGAGGCAGCAGUGAGGAAUAUUGCGCAAUGGGGGAAACCCUGACGCAGCAACGCCGCGUGAGUGAAGAAGGUCUUCGGAUUGUAAAGCUCUUUCGUUAGUGAAGAUGAUGACGGUAGCGAACAAAGAAGCACCGGCAAACUUCGUGCCAGCAGCCGCGGUAAUACGACGGGUGAGAGCGUUGCUCGGAAUUACUGGGCGUAAAGGGCGCGUAGGCGGGUAUGUAAGGUAGCUGGGAAAUGCGGGGGCUUAACCACGGAACUGCAAUUGGGACUAUGUAGCGAGAGUAAUGGAGAGGUUAGCGGAAUACCCAGGGGAGGGGGGAAAAUCGUAGAGAUUAGGUAGAACA